GACAGAUUCAAGACGAUCGGCCCUCACGCUGCCGAACACAGCCAGGGAUGAUGAAAACUUCCACUGUGUUCGAGAAGAUGAACUCUUGAAUUUAUUUUCAACUCCACUUGAAUAAAAAUGUAGCACAAAACGAAGAAGUCCUGCUGUAGCCCAUAAGUGUGCCAGUUCUCACUGCUCGAUGCCCACUUUAAUGACCGUGGUAAAUGAACAAGGACAGGGGAAAAGAAAAGAAAAAAUGAAGAACAAUAAAGAUGCAUGGGAAAGAAAGAGAAAAAGGACAGAAAAAAGGGAAGAAAACAAUGUCAGGAGCACAGGAAGAAGAAGAAAAGUAAGAAGAGUGCUAUGGAAAGACAGAAUGUCUUGAUGUUUCCAGUCUCUCAACUCCUCUGAAGCAUGACGUGAUUCUGGGAGUGGCCAACAGGGCCAGGGCUCGCGCUGAGAACUUCCACACAAAGACAGAACAAAACAGACAAAACAAACAGAACAAAGCAAUUGGUAAUGUUGUUUGAGAGUCAUUUCUUAACCAUCUCAAAUGAUAGACUGGACUAUAUUUUUUGUUUGAUCAAAAAUCUUGAACUGUAGUCAGAUCUUCAUAAUAUAUGAUGUGCAUACUUGAGCCAA
rnacentral:lncRNA from 1 species